GGCUGGCGACCGCCGGGGAGCGGGGGCAGCACGUUGGGGUGCGCGCUACUUAAGGUCCUGCUGCGUGAGCCAUUGACGUGUUUGGAGCUGGAGACGGCCUGGGCGCUGGCGAAGCGGCAGCCCGAGACGCUGACAGGCAGCACCUUGGAAGGCAGCGCGGCCUCGGAUUCACAUCCUUUCAGUUUUUUCUUCGGCUUGCCUGCCCCAUUCCGUAAGAAGACCUAGGAUGCCCGUGGUGACGCACCGAUUGAGAGAUCCUGACAUAAAUCCUUGUUUGUUGGAAUCUGAUGCUUCUAGCAGAUGUAUGGAUGAAAAUAACUAUGAUAAGGAAAGAUGUUCCAGUUACUUCUUGAAGUACAAAAACUGCCGGAGAUUUUGGAAUUCCAUCAUGAUCCAAAGAAGACAAAAUGGAGUGACACCAUUUAUGCCCACAGCAGCAGAAAGAGAUGAAAUCUUGGGAGCAAUGGGGAAAAUGCCUUAUUGAAUGUUUACUCUAAAAUUGUUUAUGUAAACUAGAAGAUAUUUUUUUUUAAAUGUACAAUUACUAUAAUCUUUUAAAACUUGACUGGCCUUACCCAGACAGCUCUGAAGAUUUACAAGGAGAGACAGAAUUCAGGACCUGUUUAAACUGUUUUCCAAAGUGGUUGCACUGUUUUUUACAGUCCACCAGCAGUGUGUGAGAGUUCCAGUUUCUCAACAUCCUCAUUAACACUUGUUAAUCUGACUUUGAUGACAGUCCUCCUAGGGCUAAACUGUUGUUUCCUUGUGAUUUUGCUUUGCAUGUCUCUGAUAGCUAGUAAUGUUUGUUGAGCAUCUUUUAAUGUGCAUAUUGGCUAUUUGUGUAUCUUUGGAGAAUGUCCCUUCAGAUCCUGUGCCCAUUUUGGACUGGAGAGGGGUACUAGCGAUUGAACUUAGGGGUACUCAACCACUGAGCCAUAUCCCCAGCCCUAUUUUGUAUUUUAUUUAGAGACAAGGUCUCACUGAGUUGCUUAUUAGCACCUUGCUUUUGCUAAGGCUGGCUUUGAACUCACCAUCCUCCUACCUCAGCUUCCCCAACUGCUGAGAUUAUAGACAUGUACCACCAUGCUCAACAUUUGCCCAUUUUUAAUCGGGUCAUUUUAUUUAUUAAAUGGUAAGAGUUCUUUGCAUAUACUAGAUACACAAAAAAAAUCAGAUAUACAGUUUACAGAAUUUUUCUCCCAUUUUGUGGUUUGUAUUUUCACUUUAUGGUGACCUUUGAAGUACAAAAGUUUAAUUUUGGUGAAUGUGAAGCUGUACAACAUUAACCUUUUAAGUCAGCAGAGUAUUUAUUGCCCUCUUCACGAUAAAAUUCCAAUUUUUUCUUUUGUUGCUUUUGGUGUCAUAGCUAAGAAAGCAUUGGCUAAUCCAAGGUCACAAAGAUUUAUACCUGUUUUCUUCAAACAGUUUUAUGGUUUUAGCUUUCACGUUUAGGUCUUUGAUCUAUUUUGAGUUAAUUUUUGCAUAUGGUCUGAAGUUGGAGUUCAGCUUUAUUUAUUCUCUGUGUCUAUGCAGUUGUUCCAAUACUAUCCAUUAAAAAGACUGUUCUUUUCCCCAAUUAAAUUGUCUUAGCACCUUUGUUGCAAAUCAAUUGAUUUUUUUCCCUUAUACUGGGAUUGAACCCAGGGGUGCUUCAACCCCUGAGCCACUUCCCCAGCUCUUUUUUAAUAUUUUGAGACAGGGUUUCACUGAGUUGCUUAGAGCCUCACUAAGUUGCUGAAGCUGGCUUUGAACUCAUGAUCCUCCUGCCUUAACCUCCUGAGCUGCUGGGUUUACAGGUGUGUGCCACCAUGCCUGGUGCGAAUCAAUUGAUUAUACAUUUGUGAGAUUUUUUUCCUGAACUUUCUAUUCUAUUGAUCUAUGUAUUUCUACCUUUAUGCCAGCACCCCACUCUCUUGUAGCUUUGUGAUAAUGGCAUAGUUCUUUGAUGGUUGGUUUCUGUGAAUGUUUUCUGUGAAGUAUCUUGAUGACAAACUAAUUUUGGAAUUUUUGAUUGGCAAAUUCUUAACAUAUUUAAUAUGUAAUGGCUCCACCCAGGAAAAACUGUUUAAUUCAAAUCUCUCUUCAGUAAUUCCCUGAUUCUUAGCUUGCUUCUCUACACAACGCUGGUAACUUCAGUGUGCUCUUUUUAUAACCUGAUUGUGCAAGAUCUCAUUGUAUCACCUUUGAGAGGCAAUAUCUAAAUGGUUUCUUUUACCACCACUGUUAAAUUUGUCACUCUUGUUUUUCUUCAAAUUUUGCUUUUAGGAAAGUGAAGCUUGAUAAAUUAGUGUCAGAAUGCUGUGAGAAAUUUUUAUAUGUCAAAAAAGUAGAAGUUGUUUACUGCGUUCAUGUUCACUGUUUUAGAAAGCAUCUCAUUACAAAUUCUUAAUAUCUGGGAAUCUGCAUCUGUAGUAUGUAAAAGCAACCCUUUUAAGAAUCACUCAUCUGUGCCUUCUUGGGAGAAAUAAACAGUAUCAUUCAUGGUUA